rnacentral:rRNA from 1 species
AGUGAACGCUGGCGGUAGGCCUAACACAUGCAAGUCGAACGGCAGCACAGUAAGAGCUUGCUCUUACGGGUGGCGAGUGGCGGACGGGUGAGGAGUACAUCGGAAUCUACUUUUUCGUGGGGGAUAACGUAGGGAAACUUACGCUAAUACCGCAUACGACCUACGGGUGAAAGCAGGGGAUCUUCGGACCUUGCGCGAUUGAAUGAGCCGAUGUCGGAUUAGCUAGUUGGCGGGGUAAAGGCCCACCAAGGCGACGAUCCGUAGCUGGUCUGAGAGGAUGAUCAGCCACACUGGAACUGAGACACGGUCCAGACUCCUACGGGAGGCAGCAGUGGGGAAUAUUGGACAAUGGGCGCAAGCCUGGUCCAGCCAUACCGCGUGGGUGAAGAAGGCCUUCGGGUUGUAAAGCCCUUUUGUUGGGAAAGAAAAGCAGCAGGUUAAUACCCCGCUGUUCUGACGGUACCCAAAGAAUAAGCACCGGCUAACUUCGUG